UAGGCGAACGGGUGAGUAACGCGUGAGGAACCUGCCUCAAAGAGGGGGACAACAGUUGGAAACGACUGCUAAUACCACAUAAGCCCACGACCCGGCAUCGGGUAGAGGGAAAAGGAGCAAUCCGCUUUGAGAUGGCCUCGCGUCCGAUUAGCUAGUUGGUGAGGUAAUGGCCCACCAAGGCGACGAUCGGUAGCCGGACUGAGAGGUUGAACGGCCACAUUGGGACUGAGACACGGCCCAG
rnacentral:rRNA from 1 species